GGCCGAGGUCGGUGGCCGGACGGCACCGGUGCGGGUCGAACGAGUAGGCGACCGCGUCGAGGUCGCCCGGUUCGAGGCCGGCUUCGGCCA
rnacentral:tRNA from 1 species